AUUGAACGCUGGCGGCAGGCUUAACACAUGCAAGUCGAGGGGUAGAGGAAGCUUGCUUCCUUGAGACCGGCGCACGGGUGCGUAACGCGUAUGCAACCUACCUUUUACAGAGGGAUAGCCCAGAGAAAUUUGGAUUAAUACCUCAUGGUAUAUAUCAUUCGUAUGUUUGAUAUAUUAAAGUUCCAACGGUAAAAGAUGGGCAUGCGUCCUAUUAGCUAGAUGGUAAGGUAACGGCUUACCAUGGCAACGAUAGGUAGGGGUCCUGAGAGGGAGAUCCCCCACACUGGUACUGAGACACGGACCAGACUCCUACGGGAGGCAGCAGUGAGGAAUAUUGGACAAUGGGCGCAAGCCUGAUCCAGCCAUGCCGCGUGCAGGAAGAAGCAUCUAUGGUGUGUAAACUGCUUUUGUACGGGAAGAAACACUCCUUCGUGAAGGAGCUUGACGGUACCGUAAGAAUAAGGAUCGGCUAACUCCGUGCCAGCAGCCGCGGUAAGAC
rnacentral:rRNA from 1 species